GCAGUAUGUGGGGCAAGAUUAUAAUACAAAUAAAAAGAGGGGGAAAAGGUACACAAAGAGAUUAUACUGCAAACACUCUUCAUUGAUUUUGGCUUUAGAAACCAACAGCUUCCAUUCCAUAGUAGAUACUGCAAGAAAGAUGGAGGCUGGGGCUAUCAUUGAAGGGAGUCUGAAGUUAAAAAGUAUAAAAGCUGAGCAAUUCGCAAUUCUUAAGGCUACUGAUGUAGGGAGGUUUGAUCAUUUAACGCAAACUGUUUCUUCAUUCGAAACUAAGAAGAAUAAAGGACGGAAGUUUGGCAAGAAGCAAAAGAAGAAUAAGUUCUGGAAUAGAAUCAAGUCAGGCAUUAGGAUGGGAGGAGGCAGGUUUGAAUACCUUUGAUUGUGCAAGAUGUGAGAAGCUUCAUCAAG
rnacentral:misc_RNA from 1 species